CCUACGGGAGGCAGCAGUGAGGAAUAUUGCACAAUGGGGGAAACCCUGAUGCAGCGACGCCGCGUGAGUGAAGAAGUAUUUCGGUAUGGAAAGCUCUAUCAACAGGGAAGAAAAUUACGGUACCUAAAUAAGAAGCCCCGGCUAACUACGUGCCAGCAGCCGCGGUAAUACGUAGGGGGCAAGCGUUAUCCGGAUUUACUGGGUGUUAAGGGAGUGUAGACGGCAGCACAAGUCUGGAGUGAAAGGGCGUGGCUUAACCCCGGAACUGCAUUGGAAACUGUGCAGCUAGAGUGCAGGAGAGGUAAGUGGAAUUCCUGGUGUAGCGGUGAAAUGCGUAGAUAUUAGGAGGAACACCAGUGGCGAAGGCGGCUUACUGGACUGUAACUGACGUUGAGGCUCGAAAGCGUGGGGAGCAAACAGGAUUAGAUACCCCGGUAGUC
rnacentral:rRNA from 1 species